UCCGGUCCUCCUUUGCAGCGGCUCUCCCGUGGAACACGAACAUAUUUUCCUCUCUGAAAAGAAAAAUACUAACGGAGCAAACUUCCAAAGGACCGGACCAAAGCGGCUAAUUUACAAAAUUUGAGAACUUCCUUUGUCACCUCCACCUCUCAAAAGUACAGCCACCGCUUUACAUCAUCAGUUCAUCAUCAUCUCCUUUUUUCAAUUAUUUUUAUUAAAAGAAAAAUACAAGUCUAAAUAUCAAAAGCCGUUUAAACUUUCCACUCAUUCAUUGCCAUUUCGCGAAAUUUCGCUCUUGUCUCUGCUCUGCUCUGCUCUGCUCUGUUCUGCUCUUCGCCGCUUUUAAUUUUUUUUUUUUGCUGUCUUCUUUGCAUGAAUGAAUAUUUAUUUACGCACGUGCUUCUAAUUUUGAUACCAAUUCGCUGAACCUUCUUCCUUCCGGAACUCUCCCCUUUUCUUUUAGUCUGUAUUUUUUAAUUUUUGAAUGGCGAUAUCCGAGCCACCGGAGAUUUUAGGGAGCAUGGCAACGGUGGCCAGCAGCUCUCACAGCGACUCAGAUCUUAACCUCUUGUCAAUUCGUCGUCGAACCUCCACCACCGCCGCAGCCAGAGCUCCGGACCCUGACGAUUCGGGGAACGGCGAGGCCGUGGACAAUAGAGAUCGAGUGGAAUCGGCCAAUUUGAUGAGUAACGUUGCAGCAAAUGCAAACGAGAUGCCAAGUAAUUCCGAUAUAAUAUUCACGUAUCGGCCUUCUGUUCCCGCUCAUCGGAGGAUCAAAGAAAGCCCUCUCAGCUCCGGCGCCAUCUUCAAACAGCAGAGUCAUGCGGGUCUGUUCAACCUCUGUAUAGUAGUGCUUGUAGCUGUAAACAGCCGGCUUAUUAUUGAAAACCUAAUGAAGUAUGGGUGGUUGAUUAGAUCUGGAUUUUGGUUUAGUUCAAGAUCGUUGAGUGAUUGGCCUCUUUUUAUGUGUUGUCUUACUCUCCCGAUUUUCCCACUUGCGGCCUUUGUAGUUGAAAAGUUGGUGCAACGCAAUUAUAUAUCUGAACCUGUUGUUGUUUUUCUUCAUGCAAUCAUUAGCACAAUUGCGGUUUUGUAUCCAGUUAUUGUUAUUCUCAGGUGUGAUUCUGCAUUUUUAUCAGGCGUGGCAUUGAUGCUGUUUGCUUGUAUUGUCUGGUUAAAAUUGGUCUCCUAUGCUCAUACUAACAAUGAUAUGAGAGCACUUGCCAAGUCAGCUGAAAAGGGAGAUAUGGACCACUUGUAUGAUGUUAGCUUCAAGAGUUUGGCAUACUUCAUGGUAGCACCCACAUUAUGUUACCAGCAAAGCUAUCCUCGUACACCAGCUGUUCGAAAAAGUUGGGUGGUUCGUCAAUUUAUCAAGUUAAUAGUAUUUACCGGACUCAUGGGUUUCAUAAUAGAACAGUAUAUCAAUCCAAUUGUUCGGAACUCUCAACACCCUUUGAAGGGGAACCUUUUAUACGCCAUAGAGAGAGUUUUGAAGCUUUCAGUUCCAAAUUUAUACGUGUGGCUCUGCAUGUUCUACUGCUUUUUUCACCUCUGGUUAAAUAUACUAGCUGAGCUCCUCCGUUUUGGGGAUCGUGAGUUCUAUAAAGAUUGGUGGAAUGCAAAAACUGUUGAGGAGUAUUGGAGAAUGUGGAAUAUGCCUGUUCACAAAUGGAUGGCUCGCCACAUCUAUUUUCCAUGCCUAAGGAACGGUAUACCAAAGGGAGUUGCCAUUGUUAUUGCCUUCUUGGUUUCUGCUGUAUUCCAUGAGCUCUGCAUCGCUGUUCCUUGCCACGUAUUUAAGUUAUGGGCUUUUAUUGGCAUCAUGUUUCAGGUUCCCUUGGUCUUGAUCUCAAAUUAUCUGCAAACUAAGUUCAGAAGCUCAAUGGUGGGAAAUAUGAUUUUCUGGUUCAUUUUCAGCAUUCUUGGUCAGCCGAUGUGUGUGCUUCUGUACUACCAUGAUUUGAUGAAUCGCAAAGGGAAAGCAGAUUAAUCUACUACAUUUUACAACGACCUGGUGCCUAGUGAUGCAACUUGAUCCAGUAGCGGCUGUGGAUUGGUUUUAUAUGUGUGGAAAGUUGUACAUGAUGCACGCCCGGCCUCUUGUCUACAGUUUGCCCAUAAUUUACUCUUUGAGAAACGUGACUGGAAUUAGUAAGGCGUGGGAGUUUGGAGGCAACAAUCUCGUGGCCCAUAAACGUUUGCAAGUUCCCUCUUCAAUUGCUUCCCUGUGAGUAUAACAAAUGAGGCUAUUCCAAUUCCGGCAAAAACCCUGUUUACAGCGCACGUUUCUGAAAUUGUCUAAUCUCUGUUUGUAGUCUAGACUGAACUUGGUUUUUUUCUCGCUUGGGAAGUGGAAAUCUUCGUUACUGUGAUGAUUUUUAUAGAUAAAGUGCUGCAUUUCAAAAGAAGAAGAAAGAGAGAGAAGAGUCCGUUAUAUUUUUAUCAUUUAAUGGAGUUGUGUGCUGGAUAUUGACACGAGUGGAGCCCAGCAAAGCAGCCUUUGUCCCAGAAAUGAAAAAGUACAUUUAUGGUAAUAACAAUUAUAGAAGGGGCCUAGAGCCACACCAUCAUGAUAACGGGUGGCGGAAAGUGGGAGCCAUGUAUCCUCAUUUAAUUAUCAUUUGGGUUAGGCUAAAUAUGGUCAACUUUAAUGCUUUAAUGAAGGUUUUUAGGUUGAUGAAGUGAUAUGAAGGAAAACAUGUAGACAUGCAAACUAAGUAUUACAAGUAGAUACUAUUUUUUGUCGUUUGAAAUGAAGCAAUUAGCAGGUAGAAUACGUAAAUUAAUGAUGUGGUUGAAUGUAACCAAGCGCUACAUGAAGUCAUGUGAAUGAGUGGAUUUGGCUUUAUAACACCCGACCUUUGCCAACUUUAUGUAAGAACCACCGACGCAAUUGCAUUAUUUAAAGUCAGCUCAUCGUAGAAUCAUACAAGAAAAAUUGUCUGGUCUCCAUGAAAUCAAACUCUAUAAUUCCACAACACUCCAAAGCACAAAUUCCAUUUAAUUUAUAGACACUACAGCUUUGCGAGAGAGAAGCUUCAAACUCCUAGCUUCAAGAGAUUAAGAGAGCAAUUCCCUACCCCAAAAUCUCUGUGAGAA